UUACCUUGCCACUCUUGUUGUAGACUCUGAGGUGCAUGCUAGGGGAUGUUAAAAGCAGCAGCGACUCCUGCUCGGACAGCUUCUUCCUGAGGCGGUCAAUGACCUUCGAACCUUUGUUGGCUCUCUGAAAUACGGUGUGAGAUCUUCACCUUCAUGGCAUCCAGCUCUUCAUCUGGCACCUGUGGGACAGUGAGGGGUUCGGCCUCCUCUGGGCCCUGGAAGUUUGGCGCAGAGCAGCAGGUCGGUGAACAGGAAGACGUGUCGCAGUUUCCUAGCGCCCUCCACCAGCUCUACCAUGAAGCUGUCCUUCAGCAGCUGGCGAUUCUGUGGAUUGUAAACAAAGACGCUCGCAGGAUGACAUCACACAUGUUCAGGAGUGGUUACAUCAUCAUCUUCAUCUGAGUGUCCUCCCACCAUCUUCUCAUCCUCCACCCACCACUAUGCCCCCCUCCCCCCCCGCCCCUCUCCUCCAUCAAGAACACAUACUGUCACCACCAGAACACACUGAAGAGCAUACGAUGUGUGUUUUUGUUUAUGAAGCCAAACAGCUGACAAAAGAGCUCCACCGCAGUGUAACUGCCAGAGGCGAUGGGGGGUGAUGGGAGGUAGGUAGGCUAAGACAAAGAAAAUGAGCAUCAUUAUCUUUGGAUACAGUGUGUGAUCUCCGCAGCCAUCUUCUGUCCUCUAUCGGUGAAAAGCGAUAGGGGUCGUGCUCUGACAACAAUAACUGUUCCAAGUAAAAAGAUCAUAAGGAAAAUCUGAUGAAAAUCUCUGUUUUGAUGGAAAUUAUGAAAAAAACAACAACAACAACAAUAGGACCGAACACCAACAAUCUUAUAUAAAGGGGACAAACCAUUCAUCACCAUUGAGACAAGAGUUCAUGAGGUGGGGUAUACAGUCACUCACUUCCAUUAAACAAGGCCGACAGUAUCGAAUAUUUUUUUAGAAUCGAGUAUUCUACCAAUUAUCCCAUCGAUUAAUCGGAUAAAAAAUUAUUUUGCGUUAUCAAGAACAAUAAUGUGCAUAAUGAUGCUUAUGAGAUGCAGGUAUUGCUUUUAUCCAUGUGGGGUCGCCAUCCUGACGUUGUACCGUAGUAUCUGUGUGGUAUUGCCUUAAAAGGUGGGGCCUGGCUUGGUGAGUGAUGUGGGCGUCAGGGCAUGAGAGUGAAGAGUUGGCUGGCUGUUCACUGGCCAACCUGUUAGCCAGUUAGUGUGUUGAAUGACUUGGGCGUGAGUUGUGGACAUCAGCAGCUUGUGUUUGUUCAAUAAAGUGACUGAAAGUGUACCGGUGGCUUUGUCUAUUCUUGACCACUUGCAGGGACAUUAAAAUGCAUUCUAAGUAGUCAUGGUAGGCUGUAUUAAAUUAGCUAACAUUGAUAUGUUACCUCGUGUUGGCUAUCUUAGAUGUGCUGUUCUGGAACACAUUGCACUUGACCUCAUUCCUUGUUAAGUGUGAAAUGAUCCCAACCUUUGGACAUUUCUUCUACCGACUCCUGGCUCGCUGCCAUCACGGCAACUCAUUUGUACAUAGAGUGCUGCGUGCGACUGCAGUAACGUUAGUCCGUGUGGAAAAAUGAACACUCAAGCUUCGUGGCAGAGAUUUCGCUUUGAUCUUGUUUUGUAAUCGAAUUAUUUGGGUUAUUCGAUCAAUCGUUGCAGCCCUAGCCUAGAGUUUGAAAGUCUGUUCUAAUUCCGGAUACUUGUGAUUAAGGCACCUGGGAACUGUUUUAAUUAUUAAAAAAAAAAAAAAACGUCUCGAUGAAAAAUGAUUUGACCGGAAACCAAACAUCUUCUGUUAAAAAACAAUAGGGCUGUUGUUUGACAAAAAUGUAAAACUUUUGCCUCAAUCAUAUGAAGACUGCUGUUUUGGAAUUAAAUCAGGAAACAAUCUUGUCUUUUGUAAAUAGGCCACUCUUUUUUGAGGUCUCUAGGCCUCAUUCUUACAACUUCAUAAAACACAUCGCAGCGUCACACAGGUUCAUCACCAAUCCUCCCAAAAAAAUCCCACAACUUAUUCUUCCCCUGCAGCAACAGCUCACAACG